AUGCAGAUCAAGCGAGGGGAUGUUCAACCUGGAAGCUCGAAUAGAAGACGCAAAAAAAUGCGCAUAAGUAGCGAAAAUAUGAUUCGAGUCAAUCCUCUCGAAGAGGAAUUCGGCACCUCAAGUGAUUCUGGUGAAGGUGUCUGGAGGCUACUCAGUGAAGAAGUCGCAGCACACAUAGAUGACAGUGUUGUGUCGCUUGCUUCAUUCCAUAAAGAUAACGCAAAGUCGGUUUAUUUUGCGUGCACGGGCAUAAUUAUUGAGAGCAAUUCAACUACUACAAGUUUCUUGACUUCGUUAAGUUUGCUUAGAUCUAUUGAUGAUGAUAGCAAGAUCUUUCAAGACAUGAUGAUUAAAGUGCGCCUUCCAAAUAAUCAUCUUUCAAUGGGAUGGUUGGAAUACUAUGACUUAAAAUACAAUGUUGCUGUUAUCAGCAUCGCGCCCUUCCAUGUUUUUCGCGCAGCAUUUGUAGAUCAUCAGCGGCAAUUUGAGUCUCAUAGUGAAGUAGUUGCUGUUGGGCGUUGCUUCGACUCAGGCAAAUUAAUGGCCACAACUGGGAUGUUGACUGACAAUGGGAAGAGAAUUUACCGCGAGGAGCUUGCGAUCUCCACAUGUGAAAUUACUAUGACUGGAGUUGGAGGGCCCCUUGUUGAUUUUAACGGUGACUUUGUCGGGAUGAACUUUUAUUCUAAGGAAGAGACUCCGUUCCUACCAAGGAAUAAAAUUCUUGAGCUUCUGAUGCAUUUUAGGAGAACAUCCCCGUGCUGGGACACAAGUAAGAAAAGAGGUAGUAAAACUGAAAGAGGCGCAAGCAAGGCACAAAUGUCUCCUGAAUCUCACAAGUCCGAUUUAGAAGGCAGCUCAAGGCAGGAGAUGAAAAAUAAAAACCAGAAACCUACCAUAUGUACUAUAUGUGACCCAGAACUUAAUUCAGGACUCGAGGAUACAUUACUAGAGAGUCUGCCUUCUAUUCGCCGGUGGCCAUAUGACUGGGGUCUUGUAUCUUUGGAUGCUAGAAGAGAUAAGUUUAGGUCCCGUGGUUACCCCUUACCAGUUUUGGAGGAUGAUGCCAAGCGUCUGCGUUAUAGUUUUGAGGAGGAGUUUAGUGAAGAUAUCUGGAACAAACUCUCAGAAAGAGUAGCUUCAAAUAUGUCCCGAGUUGUUGUAGCACUCGCUUCAUUCAAUGGAGAAGCGAGACUUUUUGCUUGCACAGGUGUAUUCAUAGACUGCAAUGGGUUCACCACAAGAGUUCUAACCUCGGGAAGUUUGGUUAGAAGUAAUGACGAUGAAAGCAAGGUUGCUGAUAACUUAAAGAUUGAAGUGCACCUUCCAGAUAAACGACGUGUCACAGGGAUUUUGCAACAUUACGAUCUGCAUUAUAAUGUCGCUGUCAUCAUCAUCAAAAAACAUCGCUGUACUCGGACAGCAAUUAUCAACAAUAAGGUUGAAACUGGCACUCACUCGCAGGUAUUAGCUGUAGGGCGUGUCUAUGAAUCAGGCAAAUUAAUGGCAGCAAGUGGGAUAGUGAUCAACAAUGAAAGUAAACUCGAUUGCAAAGAUCUUAGGAUCUCCACUUGUCAAAUCACUAAGGCUGGGAUUGGGGGCCCUCUUAUUGAUUCUGAUGGGAACUUUAUUGGCAUGAACUUCUAUGGCUUGGAAGAAACUCCCUACAUGCCACGGGAUACAAUUGUGAAACUCUUGGGGAAUUUUGAUGCAAAAGGGACUGCUGAUUUUACCAAAGUUCCUGCACCAAACAGGUUUUUAAAAUAUUAUUAUGCAUUCAACAAGACCUUGAUUCAGACAUGCACUAUUCAUGGACUUACUUAUGAUUUCAUCAUAACAGAUGGCCUGUGCCUAAGCCAUAUUGGUGCUAUCCGGUGUGGCAUGAACGGAAGGAAGGAACAGACUUGCUGGAAUUUCUUGAACAAGAAUUUCGCUAUGACUAAUGUGAAUUUUAUUGCCAUGCCUAUAUUGUCAACCUGCUGA
rnacentral:rRNA from 1 species